rnacentral:rRNA from 1 species
UGGAAUUGCUAGUAAUGGCAGGUCAGCAUACUGCCGUGAAUACGUUCCCGGGCCUUGUACACACCGCCCGUCACACCAUGAGAGUUGGAAAUACCCGAAGCCUGUGAGCUAACUGUAAAGAGGCAGCAGUCGAAGGUAGAGCCAAUGAUUGGGGUGAAGUCGUAACAAGGUAAC